rnacentral:rRNA from 1 species
UACGUAGGGGGCUAGCGUUGUCCGGAUUUAUUGGGCGUAAAGAGCGUGUAGGCGGCCAGGUAGGUCUGCUGUGAAAACUCGAGGCUCAACCUCGAGAUGUCGGCGGAAACCAUCUGGCUAGAGUCCGGAAGAGGAGAGUGGAAUUCCUGGUGUAGCGGUGAAAUGCGCAGAUAUCAGGAAGAACACCCGUGGCGAAGGCGGCGUCUCUGGGACGGUACUGACGCUGAGACGCGAAAGCGUGGGGAGCGAACAGG